GAGUUAGCCACAGGGAGGGCCGCGGGCCUGGGCUGAGUUGUGGGGGAGGAGGUGGCAGUUUAGGGCCUCAGGGGACAUAUGGGGGCGGUGGCAGAGUCAGGCGAUACUGGCGGGCUGGGGGUGGGAGUGUGCCUGCUGGAGGCAGGUUAGAGGGGAGACUAGACCUUAGGGAAGUCUUGCAGGGCAGAGCUGCCUCGAAAGGGCCCGCAGGAACCCGGGGAGAGGAGCACACUCCAGGCCUGGGUGUCGCUGCUGCCCGCUGGAGAAGGGGAACUUGACCCCUGGGAGGGGGCCGAUUCCGCGUAGGCUGGGCGGCCCCCUGUGCCCUGCUUUGUCUGAAGGAGGGAGGCAGAGACUGGAGGAGGCUGAGGGUCUCGCCACCCUUGCUGGAGGCGAUAUCUGGCCGUCGAUGCCCUGAACAUGAGCAAGAAGGCAGGCCGUGGGGUGCGGGGUCGCAGUUAGGCUGGGAAGGCAGCACUUGAACUUGUCAAUACCAGCCGCCCCCUUUUUUUCCAGACAAAGGGGUGUGAGCCCGCCUGGGGAUGAGGCCUGGUGUGGUGGCAACUGACCUUAGCUUCGCGGGCUGACAGCUCUGGCCCAGGGCGGUGGCAGUGCUCCCUUUUGGACUUUUCCUGUAGGUUCCGUGCUAACCUCUUCUGUGAGCUCACUCUGCCCCUCCUCCUCCUCCUCCUCCCUUUAACUCCCUCGAGGUUCCCCAUUGGCUUAAGCGUUGCUUCUGGUAAUCUGGUAAGCCCGGGAAGUUGCUCCAGUCCCUGUUGGAGUCGGUACUGCUGAUGGUGGUUUGUUGCUGUAGUGUUCAUCAUGGCGAGCUGAUGGCACCAGGAGGAUGGAGCCCCUGGCCAGUGUGAGUCCUAGCAGUGCAGGAGGGGAGACCCUGGAGGAGAGAGCCCGCCUAAAUUGAUGUCUGCAGAUUGAAUUUCCAGAGGCUUAGGAGGAGGAAGUUCUCCAAUGUCCCGUGUCCAGGCCUUGGCUCAGGAAGCCUUGUAUUCAGGAGGCCACCCUUUAAGGGUGUCAAUGAGCUUGUGAGAGGGUGAUGGUUCCAAGUCCCAAGCAGAUGCAUCCGGGGUCGUCAGCAGAUGUGUUGAGUGUUUGAUCCGGAGCACCAACCUCUGGGCACGUUGAAUGCCAGCAGGCACCUCUCCUGUUCGGGGGUGGAGGUUUUCCGAUGGCUGCGUCUUCUAAUGCCUCCUGUCAUGCUAGUUCUGUGCUACGAACCUUGCUUCCAGAAGACUCUUAAGAUGUAGAACAUUUUAACGCUGAUGCCUCAACGCAGAGUGAUGCCUGGUAGAUGGAGCUUGCAGAUGGAGCCCAGGGACCCUGUCAUCUACUCACCUGCCUGCCCCAGCCUCGGUCGGAGGAAUUCUUAGUGUGAUGAUGUAACCUGUGUGUCCAGAAAGUGUUCACUGUUGAAACGCCUUAGGCCAAUACUCACAGGAAGCCACCUGGCAAACUGAGGGGGUCAUUGUGUUGUGCUGUGGUCUGGGAGGGUACAAGGUGGUGCUGCGCAAGUGGGGAUAGAAAUGCAGGUCUGGUUUGGGCAUUCCUACUACAAGAAGGGUGUGGUCAGGGUACUGAUAGUGAUCUCUGCUCCAUCUUGCCCUAUAUACUUUUUAACUUGAAUUUUAUUUGAUUAGAUUUCAAAGUAAUUUUAGUCUUCAAAUGAGGGGACCCCGAGGUGAGGGAUUGGGAGGGAGGGGAUGAUUUGGCCCUGGCGCUGGGGACGGGGAGGGGGGGAAAGAAAGGGAGAGGGUUGCGAUUAGAUGUGGGUUCUGUAGGGUGGGAGUGGUUGGGAGUGUGGGUCGGAGGGAAUUUUCUGGAGAAAAUAUCAAUAGGCAGAGCUCUGGGGAGUUACGUAGAGCUCGUGGGAGAAGAAAAUGUUAGUUAAUAGUAAAUUGUUAACACUAGUUGUUGCUUGGAAGCGCAAAAGUUGCUUGCAAAUUUUCUAAAAUGCUUAGAACUCUUAAUUGCAGGAAGGAAAGCAAAAUUGUUUUGCUUUGCAAGAUGGGGAGGACUGGAAAAGGUAACAGCCUGGUUAUCAGUCACUUGAAAGACUGGUGUCAGGAACUUGCAUCAGCAGAUUAACAUCUUUCACCGCUUUGCAAACUUCAAAGUGGUUUAUCUGAAUGUGUGCAGAAUCCCGAGCAGUCUUAAGACUCUAAAUACCCAAAUUGAGGGCUUUUGAAGUAUUAUGUUUCAGAUUUUGGUGUGCACUUAAGAUGGUCAGAUGUACUUUUCUGGGUUUGUAACAUCUUAGCUGAGGUUUUGCAAUUGAAAACUUGAGCAGAGUGAAAAUGGUUUCUAGAGGAAUUCCGUAUGUCAUCUCCUGCCUUAUUAAACACAUCUCUUGUCUUUGUGAUUGGUACUACUACCAGCAGAAGUUUUUCCCAUUAACCUUUUUGUCCUUGUUGUGACAAGAAGAACGUAAUAACCUUGUGACCGCUGUCGUCACUGUAUGUUUGGUAGCAAAUAGUCCAUGUAUCCUUGAUAAGGUUUCAGUUCAUAAUCCGCUGUAUCUUUAGUUUGAAUGUUUGUGCUUUUUAAGUGACCCAGUACUUCAUGUGGGAAACUAUUAAACCAAAAUCAGUUUUGGAAAUGAGAACAAAACUAGGGCUGGGCAAGUGCUUUAGAUACGGUCUGUAAAAAUCCAGGGGAAGAUCUGAACUCUUAUGAUACUUGUUUUCUGAGAUGCACCUAUUUAAUUGGUAAAGUAACAGCUGUGGCUUUUUAUCAUCUCCCUUUUCCCCUUAAAUUUACUUUGAAAAUUUUAAAUCCCCACUACUUAUUACCCUUGGGAGUUACGUCUUCUGGGUUCUUUGGUGAUGUUUAAAAAUAUGUUGACAUGUAGUUCAAUUCUUAACCUGUGACUUGGGCAUGAUGCGGUGACUCAUUGGAAUUUGAAGAGCACCAGUCACGCGUGUCGGGAAAUAUGUUGCGUUAUGCUGUUGUGAAAUCGAAACUGUAAAAGUAGGUGGUGAAAAUCACGUCUCUGUUGCUCUGUGUGGUGAGAACCAGUCCUGUUGCAUCAUGUAUGAUGACUAAUCAUUUUUCUUCCCCUUCACAGCACAAAUAAAGGUUUGAGUUCUAAAC
rnacentral:lncRNA from 1 species